CAAAGAUUUCAGAGCCAGGUGGGAGGGUGCGAUGCAAGAGGCUUAUCUCGGGCCUGCAAAGUGAAUAAUUAGUGGCAAGGGCUCCUAAAGAGGCCACGCCCUCAGAGGAAAGGUGGGCUGAGGACAACCUCCUGCUAUCAAAAGCAGAUAGUGAGGGUGCUGGCUUCGGCAGCACAUAUACUAAAAGCAGAUAGUGAGGAAAGAUGUUUUCUUGAGUCUGUGGAGGGCGAUAAAACAUCUCCCCCAGGAGUGGUAGCGUCAGGCUCACCCUCACAGAGGCUUUCGGCCCACAUGUGCAUUCAUUUUGUAGCCCAGAAAAGCUGUUAGUUAGAAAGUCAGUGGUGCCCAGAGCAGCCUAGCAAGAACAAGGGAAAAAUGGAAACAUAGGGACCCAGCAAAUGUGAGCUCACACAGAAAGCAAAAACCUACAAGAAAAGAAACAACCAUGAUUGAGAGGCAGCAGGCACAAUCUGCGACUACAGAGGCCGAAGACCUGACAACUGAUCUCACAGGAUACAGGGUCCCCACUGCCUGGGGACCACAGCACCUAUCAUCAGAGCCCAAGGUCCCUCCAUCCGGGGUUCCAGGUAAACACACAGGGGGAGCAUGACUCGACUGGAGACAAAAACCAAAUGCAUUUCAAGAAGAAAAGGGAGAAAAGGGCAGAGCCUCCUCUGUGAUGAGCAUGGGUACCAUAUUCUCCGCAGAGCAUGGCCCGCCCAGCCCAGCUGCUGUACUAGGCCAGGUGAGAUACCACAUGUCCCUUCAGGAUGGUGGGAGUACUUAACCCUAGUUCCUGGGAGCCAGGCUGAACAGUUCGACCCCCCAGCUCUGUGUCAUCAUCAGGCCUGCAGCUCAGAUGCAUCUGCCUUCCACCACGGACACAGGCAGUGGCCACAGAGCUCUCAGCUUCCUUGGCAGCCUUCGUUCGGAGUCAUUUUCCUUCAGUGGGCAUCAGCACAGCUCAGUAGUGCCCAGCCAACCUCCUGGUUCUGUGGGCACCACCCCCAUCAUUUUGUGCUUCCAUGGGGCUCUCUUCCCCUGGCCUCCUCUAGUCAUCACCAGUGAAACUGCUGACAACAGAGCCUCCAUCUUGUCUUGGGGGCUGUCCACCCCUGCCCAGUGACCAGGAGGUGGCCUCUUUGUCCCCAAGGUGAACCAUUCUAAUCCUCUCUUCAUCACUUUUCUCAGACCACUUCCUGCAUUCCUGGUGCUGCUCUGGGAUUUCCAGGGAGCAGAUGCCAAGACAGGACCCAGCGUGGAGGAUUUUUAAUAGGGGAACCACCUGUGUGGGAGAAAGCAGGGAGGUGGCCCUAAGGCUGGGAAAGUGCAACCAGGGUGAGGUUCUCACCGUGAGUACAGUAGAGUGGAAAGGCAGUGUGCUGGUCAUGCCAUCUGAGAAAAGCCUGGCAUGGCCUCCAGGGAACCCUUCUACCAUUUCUCAUCAGAGGACCGUCCGAUGUGCCAACAACAAGCCUGCAGAGAUCGCAAUCCUGGGGAGCAGCCCAAAGCUUUGGUGUAAAUGAACCACUGGAUUUCAGCUCUCAUUUGCUGGGCCUUUGGACAAUUCCUCUCCCUACAGCAAGCUCAGUAGGUAUACAAAACACCCUAUGUAACAACUUUUGCCUACAGUCAAAUAAAGAUUGCAGCCCCAA
ensembl:lncRNA